AGCGAACGCUGGCGGCAGGCCUAACACAUGCAAGUCGAACGAAGUCUUCGGACUUAGUGGCGGACGGGUGAGUAACACGUGGGAACGUGCCUUUAGGUUCGGAAUAACUUAGGGAAACUUGUGCUAAUACCGAAUGUGCCCUUCGGGGGAAAGAUUUAUCGCCUUUAGAGCGGCCCGCGUCUGAUUAGCUAGUUGGUGAGGUAAAGGCUCACCAAGGCGACGAUCAGUAGCUGGUCUGAGAGGAUGAUCAGCCACAUUGGGACUGAGACACAGCCCAAACUCCUACGGGAGGCAGCAGUGGGGAAUCUUGCGCAAUGGGCGAAAGCCUGACGCAGCCAUGCCGCGUGAAUGAUGUAGGUCUUAGGAUUGUAAAAUUCUUUCACCGGGGACGAUAAUGACGGUACCCGGAGAAGAAGCCCCGGCUAACUUCGUGCCAGCCGCCGCCGUAA
rnacentral:rRNA from 1 species